GGACAACUUACCGUUGCCUGUGUUUUGUAUAACAUGUUCACUGUCUGUCCGGGUCAUGGCCAAACAACGUGUUUGUCUUUGCAUGGAGUAACUGCUACUCCUCCAUAAUGGUAGUGAGGAGGUACUUGGUGUGCAACUGCAGGAUUCCAGCUGCGUACACUUUGGACCUCGGCGGCUGAUGUGGUGGGGUUUUGUCGGGCCGUGCGUCGAUUCGUGCCCUGGCUGCGAACGGCAGUAGGAGCAGCUGUUUCUCUACUACGCAUUGUUGGUGACACACAGCACCCUCGGAAAACUGAGAAGAGAAGGCAAGAGGAGUCGAUGCUGACACAAAGUUGUACUGGUCCCUACACUUGGGAAACACGUGGAAAAUGUGAAUAUAACCUGUGUCAUGGCAUUCUCACAAAGGUCUUGUGAAUUUGAUUGAAUCAGUGUCUGUCCCCCCCAGGACAGAUUUUCCCCACACCCUGUUGCUAAAUGUGCAAAUGUGUGUUUUUCACAUAGUGUCGUAUGGCUCUGGGUUUUAUGUUGCAUUUAUUUCCAAAACGUUGUGCGUUUGCAAUGUUGUUGCCAGGUCUCUAUUGAAAGGGAGAUUGUUGAUCUCACUGAGACAAACCUGAUUGAAGAUGCAGUUUUGCAAUGAACAAGAUAAUUAAAAAAGCUCCCAUUUUGGGCUGCAUGUGUAAUAUGUUGUUUAAGUAGAGUCACCGUCAUCCCUCAGUUAGCAAUGAAAUGACAACUGAACGCAAGUAGUUUUGAUGAGAAGUUCAAAAUCGAAUGAAAAAAGAGUCAAAAGUUGUGUCUCCCACC
rnacentral:lncRNA from 1 species